UACGUAGGGGGCAAGCGUUGUCCGGAAUCAUUGGGCGUAAAGAGCGUGUAGGCGGCCAGAUAAGUCCGCUGUGAAAUCUCGAGGCUCAACUUCGAGCUGUCGGUGGAAACUGUCUGGCUAGAGUCCGGAAGAGGAGAAUGGAAUUCCUGGUGUAGCGGUGAAAUGCGCAGAUAUCAGGAGGAACACCGAUUGCGAAGGCAGCUCGCUGGAACGUUACUGACGCUGAGACGCGAAAGCGUGGGGAGCAAACGGG
rnacentral:rRNA from 1 species